rnacentral:snoRNA from 1 species
UGGCUGUGAUGAAACAAACUUCGUUUCUCGAUGCUGAGACUUGAUUUGUUCAAGGACCAAAAUCAUGCUGACCGUUGUGCGUGUCUGAGCCAC